rnacentral:rRNA from 1 species
AGUGAACGCUGGCGGCAGGCCUAACACAUGCAAGUCGAGCGGCAGCGCGGGGGCAACCCUGGCGGCGAGCGGCGGACGGGUGAGGAAUUCGUCGGAAUCUGCCUUUUUGUGGGGGAUAACGUAGGGAAACUUACGCUAAUACCGCAUACGUCCUACGGGAGAAAGUGGGGGACCGCAAGGCCUCACGCAGAAAGAUGAGCCGACGACCGAUUAGCUAGGUGGUAGGGUAAAGGCCCACCAAGGCGACGAUCGGUAGCUGGUCUGGGAGGGUGAUCGGCAACACUGGGACGGAGACACGGAGCAGACUCCGACGGGAGGACGCAGGCGGGGUUAGUGCGCAAGGGGUGAGAGCUUGACGGAGCAACGCCGCGUGAGUGAUGAAGGUCUGCGGAUCGUAAAACUCUGUUAUUAGGGAAGAACAAAUGGGCCAGUAACUAUGCGCGGCAUGACGGUACCUAAUCAGAAAGACACGGCUAACUACGUG